rnacentral:lncRNA from 1 species
AUUGUUGUCUUGCAGAAAAAAGUAAAAUAAUGAAAAGGAGAAAAGCGUAGAUAGUUGCAAAAAAAUAAAGGAGAAUCAAAAAGCUAUGACAAUGCAUCUAAAGCCAAAUAAGAAUAUUUUGGUAACAAAUUCAUCCAAAAAAAUUCAAACAAGUAGCGUCUUUUUCUUCUUUUCCUCUUUUUUUAACCUCUUUACUAUUUUAUUUGGUCUUCAUAGACAAAAAUAUAUAAGGAUAUGAAGUUUCACCAUGAAUAAGUUAGGAAAUAAUAUAUUGUUACAAUAAUAUAUUUUAUAAAUAAUAUUUAAUCAAUAUGAAAUUGUAGUGAUUAAUGAAUAUAAGGAGAUAAAAUGUUAUAGUAAAGAAAUGUUGUCGUAAACAUAUUAUUUUAUUUUUGAUAUUAUAAUUCUAUUAUACUCUUCAACAAUUUAAUUUAGAGUUCUUUCUUUUUAUGCUGUAAUGUAAUUCAUAUUUUUUUUUUACUUUUUAGCAAUUUAAUUAAAGCUCUUUCCACUAGAAAAUGAUGCAUUAGUUAUUUAUAAUAAUAAUAAGGAUUUUAAUUUUCUUCCUCGAGUAUAUUUCUUUUCGGAAUACUUUUAAUUUAAUUAAUAGUCUUUCAGUUAUCAUUAAAGUUUGAUAAUAAUUUUUAUUUGUAUUAUAUUUUUAAGUCUUCAAAUAUCUUGAACCUUAUUGCAUUGAUUUCAGAUAAUAGUUAAAUAAGUAUGUAUGAUAGUGUUUUGUUUUAUACUAGAUCAAUUUUAACACAGUUUCUUGAAAAUAAAAUAUCAUUCAAAAUAAAUUUAAAUUUUAAUAUGUUCGAUGGUGUUGAAAAUCAAAUAAACAGACAUCUUUUACAUUACCUUUUAAACAUAACAAGAAAUUUUAAUUAAAAUUUUAAAAAUUAUUUGUAAUAAAAUAUAUAAAGGUUUAGCAUAGUUUAAGUUUGGGCAUUCUUUGAGAUUUAUAUCAUUAUCUUGAAUAAAUAAAUUCUUACCUUUUAUAAUUAUGUCCUUUCAAUAGUUUUAUGAGCGUGUUUGGUAAAGAGAAAAAUAUUUUUCAUUUUUCUAGGAAAAUAAAUUUUUGAGUAUUUAUUUUAUUGUGUUUGAUACUAUAACAACAACAUACCCAAAAUACUAAAAUUUAAAAAAUAUUAUUUUAAAAAUAUUUAAUAUCUAACAGAAAAUAAUAAAAAUGCAUAAAAAUAGAGCAACAUAUAUAGUGAUGGAGGAGAGAGAGGGCAGGGGGUUAUAGGUGGGGGGAUAGGUAGGGGUAGGGGUAGGGUGGUGGUGGAUGUAAGUGGGGUUUGGGGGAAGGAAAAAUAUUUUUAAAAAAAUUAAAAAUUGUAAAAAAUUGUGUCGGAUGAGUGGGAUAAAAAUAAAAAUAAAAAAAUAAAUAUGGGGUAGGGUGUGGAUGUGGGAUUUAGCGUUGUUGGCGGUUUUGAAAGUGGUAUAAAAUAUUUUAAUUGAAUUAAUUUGAAUGAUAUAAUAAUAAGUAUAAAUAAAAUACUAAAAUAAAACAAUGAAAAAAUUAUGAACAAUAAAAUAAAGAAGGAGAAUUUAAAAGAAGAUUAAAAACAAUAAAAUUAUGUCAUCUGCUUCUGUGCUGUACUAUGUGUUUGUGUCAUAUCUCGUAACUUGAGCCGGGGGUCUUUCGGAAACAACCUUUCUACUUCAUCAGAGGUAGAGGUAUGGACUGCGUACAUCUUACCCCCCCC